AUGGACAUUUGGCGCUAUUAAAUGUAACAGGUAUGGGACUUUUCUCAUGGAGUUCUUGGCCUGGAGCCCAUGGACCCAUAAUGGAUAAAUACCAGGAGAUCUGUAAACACUAAUUUUUUAAAAUUGGUAACUAUUUCAAAAAAAAAUGUUUCCUUUUAAAUGCUAUGUUAUUGUAUACAUUUAAUAACAUUACUUUGAGAAGGGAUCCACAGGCUUUGUCAAAGGGGUCCAUGACACCAAAAAAGUGAAGAAUACUUAUCAAAAAUGAUUUGUUGAUAGAACUGGGGAUACUCAGCAUAGAGAAUUUGUUUUGUUUUGUUUUGGAAUUUUUUUUUUUUUUUUUUGUGGGGGGAGUAGAACAUGAAAACUGUCCUCACAUAUGUAAACAGCCAUCAUAUGGAACAGCAAUUACAUUUGUUCUCUUGGCCCCAGGGGGCAGAGCUAGAAAACAAUGGAUGGAAAUGGCAGAAAGGCAGAUUUCAAGCUUGAUAUAGGAGAAGAUUUCCUAACAUUUAGAACUGUCUAAAAGUAGAGUAGGCUUCCUCAUGAGGUAAUUUGUCCCUCAUUUUUGAUGAUCUUCAAGAAAAGUUUGAACUACCACUUUGGCUCUCAGACCUCUUUUAACCUUGAGAAUCCAAGAUUCUAUAAUCAAGUACAUUUGUGCCCUCCAGGAGCCAUGGGGAUACCUGUCAGACAUAGGUAACAAUGGAGAAUGAUUGUUAUUGGUCAUGGUACACUACAGUCAAUAACCCCUCCAUAGCCAAACAAUUUGUACAUUCUGGAAUGUCAGAGGGACACUUGGGUAAUAUCCAGUAUAAAUCUGGACAAUUCGUACCAAUCUGUACUCUCUUGAAAGUUUGUUUCAACACUGACCAAGAUUUAACCCUACUGGAUCCUCCAGAGAUCUGAAAGCUCUAAACAAAACUAGGUCUUCUAGGACUGUUCUCCCAACAACAGCAGAUUGGAAUUCCUCAGUAUAACCUACAAUUAAUCUUUCUUUCCUCAUCACCCCUGGAAUAACCCUGGAGUGGGAAUGAUAAGGAAACUGAAACCUCAAGAAAUCAACUGACUUACCUAUUGCCACACAUCUACUAAAUGUCUGGAGCUACAUUCAAACAUAAGAUUCCUGUCUUCAAGUCAAGUAUUUAAUCUACUAUGUCAGAUUACCUUUCCUAAAUCAAGAGAGAAAAUGGAGGAAGAAAGAGGCUGUGAGCGACUUAGAAUCUAGAGCAACUUGAAUGCCUUAGACCUAGAGACAAAUCACUAUUAAGUGUCUUGAUAAGCCUACAGAAUCCACUUGUCCCAAAGGACAGAGGCAGAAGAAGAGAGCUGGUAAGAAGAGAUCAAGGAAGUGUCACAUAGGAAAGGCUGGCUCAAAAUCUGUUUCCCUUUUGCCAUUGUGUCAAAAAUUCCAAAGCAACAUCCAACACG